UCAAUUCGGAUUUUCCGAAUCCAACCGAACCAAACCGCUUCACAAUUCGGUAAGCCUUUUUGAAUUUUAAUUUACCGAACGGUUCAGUGCUGAGCCUUCCGCCGUCCGCCACUCCACCAUCUGAAAAUCUAAGAAUCGAAAACUUCAAGGAGACAAAGACGAAGCCUCCGCCAUCCGCCUGCUUCUCUGCUCCACCGUCCGCCAUUGCCUGCUUCCCUGCUCCGCCUUUGCCUGAUUUUGAGUUGAAUUCGCAAUAAGUUCCAAGUGUGUUGUGUGUGUGAAUAUAGGAGUAAUUGUGACUGUAAUUCUGAUCUUGCAGGGAAGAGACUAUGGAAGUCAAGAUUAUACGUAUCCUUUUUUGUCAUUUUGUGUUUUGAAUAAUUUGGAUUUUAUUUAUGAUCUACUGGAGUUAUAUUGAUGCAAAAUGUAAUAUUAAAAAAUUAAAAUAAUUCCUAAAUUCUUGAAACUCAAAUCAAUUUGGCAUUUUAUAAUUUGUUUAAGGUAAGGCUUUGGGAGCCAUUUGAUAUGCAUCGUUGUUCUGUGUGAAUUUCUUGAACUCAUGAAGUAUUAACCUUUUUAUUUUUAGUUUCUCACUUCACCACUAGUGAAGUUUGAUUUGGACAUGCAUAUAAACUUUGUUUCAUUUUAAUUCUUCUUAUUGUUUUCUGUUUGUUUGGUGUUUGGUUGGACUAAUUUUCAGUAUGCCAGAAAUUCUUGAGAUUGCCUGUCUUUUGCUAUCCAGCUUAAAUUUCUGUGUAAUCAGUUUUCACUUGACCAAUUCCUUUGCUUUGUGCUGUGGGUGGCUAUGAACAGAGUGGCAUGCUGUUGCUUCAUGGACAUGGGAUGCACAGGAUGAGACUUGUGGAAUUUGUAGGAUGGCCUUUGAUGGUUGUUGUUAGGAUGUCAAGUUGUUACUCUUUACACCUGCCAAUCUGCCAUUGUAUUACCAUUAAGUUUCGACUUCUAUUUGAAUUCCAAACUGUUACUCUUUAUACCUGCCAUUAUUUUGCCCUUAAUUCUAUCUUUUCUAUGUGACUCUGAUUGCUAUUAUUGCCUUGUACUUGCACACAUUUGGAUUAUAUGGUCAUGUGGCAGUGUGGCACUGUAAUACUUAUUUUUAUGCCUUUAGUAAAUCCACUAUUAUCGUUAAGCUUUGUUUCUACUUCUGGUAGGAUGUCAAGUAGUUACUAUUUGCACCUGUCAUUGUAUCACCAUUAAGUUUCUACUUCUAUUAGGAUUCCAAACUGUUACUCUUUAUACCUGCCAUUAUAUUGCCUUUAAUUCUAACUUUUCUAUCAGUUUAUCAAAAUACUGUCUAGUUCAGACUUCUACUUCUUGUGGGAUUGAUAAUGAUAUCCUUUUCUCCUGCAUCUUAUAAAUUUGAAAUUUCCCCUGGAUCUACAAACUUGUUCGAUAAAAAUAUGUUUGUGAAAUUAGCAAGGAUUUGCUUAAUCCUUUCGGUGUAUAAAAUUUCCAAGACAGUUGCUGUAGAUGAGUGCUCCAGCUUUUCUGUGCAAUUUGAAGCUCAUAAUCAUUUUUGACAAUUGACAAUCAUUAUAUUUUGGGGUUUUUACCAACACUCUCUUGGUUUAAACUUCCAAUUCAUAUCCCUCCUGCCACCUGUAUGGCACUUGGUCCGCUAAAUGAUUAAUAAUAAAGAUCUACGGUGGUGUCUCAAUUAUUGUCUUUUAUGAAAGAUCAUCUUCAAUGCUUAUGUUACAAGGAUGUAAAGAGAAUGUUCAUCGUAUAGUUUGUAUGUUCAGGUGGUUUAAAUGUUUUCUUGCAGUUUGGGGUGCUUGCAAUCAUGCAUUUCAUCUCCAUUGUAUCUUGAAGUGGGUGAAUUCACAGACUUCUCAGGCACACUGUCCCAUGUGCCGCAGGGAAUGGCAAUUCAAAGGA